rnacentral:rRNA from 1 species
AGAGUUUGAUCCUGGCUCAGGAUGAACGCUGGCGGCGUGCUUAACACAUGCAAGUCGAACGAACCUUCGGGUUAGUGGCGGACGGGUGAGUAACGCGUGAGAAUCUGCCCUCAGGAGGGGGAUAACGACUGGAAACGGUCGCUAAUACCCCAUAUGCCGAGAGGUGAAAUGAAUUUCGCCUGAGGAUGAGCUCGCGUCUGAUUAGCUAGUUGGUGGGGUAAAGGCCUACCAAGGCGACGAUCAGUAGCUGGUCUGAGAGGAUGAUCAGCCACACUGGGACUGAGACACGGCCCAGACUCCUACGGGAGGCAGCAGUGGGGAAUUUUCCGCAAUGGGCGAAAGCCUGACGGAGCAACGCCGCGUGAGGGAUGAAGGCCUCUGGGCUGUAAACCUCUUUUCUCAAGGAAGAAGAUCUGACGGUACUUGAGGAAUAAGCCACGGCUAAUUCCGUGCCAGCAGCCGCGGUAAUACGGGAGUGGCAAGCGUUAUCCGGAAUUAUUGGGCGUAAAGCGUCCGCAGGCGGCCUCGUAAGUCUGUCGUUAAAGCGUGGAGCUUAACUCCAUUUCAGCGAUGGAAACUACAAGGCUUGAGUGUGGUAGGGGCAGAGGGAAUUCCCGGUGUAGCGGUGAAAUGCGUAGAUAUCGGGAAGAACACCAGUGGCGAAGGCGCUCUGCUGGGCCAUAACUGACGCUCAUGGACGAAAGCCAGGGGAGCGAAAGGGAUUAGAUACCCCUGUAGUCCUGGCCGUAAACGAUGAACACUAGGCGUCGG